rnacentral:rRNA from 1 species
CCUGAACGCUGGCGGCGUGGCUAAGACAUGCAAGUCGUACGGGUGCAGCAAUGCACCAGUGGCGGACGGGUGAGUAAUGUAUCGCUAAUGUACCCCAGACUCUGGGAUAGCCGGGGGAAACUCCGGGUAAUACCAGAUGACAUAACCGAGCCGCAUGGUUUGGUUCUCAAAGGGCAACCGGUUUGGGAGCAGGCGAUAUC